rnacentral:pre_miRNA from 13 species
UGGAUGUGAGUAUUACAUCAGGUACUGGUUCGUUUGGAUAAAUCGGUCCCUGAGUAAGACUUGCACCCU